GUGUCAGCAGCCGCGGUAAUACGUAGGGUGCGAGCGUUAAUCGGAAUUACUGGGCGUAAAGCGUGCGCAGGCGGUUUUGUAAGCCAGAUGUGAAAGCCCCGGGCUCAACCUGGGAAUGGCAUUUGGGACUGCAAGGCUUGAGUGCGGCAGAGGAGACUGGAAUUCCUGGUGUAGCAGUGAAAUGCGUAGAUAUCAGGAGGAACACCGAUGGCAAAGGCAGCCCCCUGGGCCAAUACUGACGCUCAGGCACGAAAGCGUGGGGAGCAAACAGGAUUAGAUACCCUGGUAGUCCACGCCCUAAACGAUGCUCACUAGGUGUUGGGGAAGCGAUUCCUUGGUACCGAAGCUAACGCGUGAAGUGAGCCGCCUGGGGAGUACGGCCGCAAGGUUAAAACUCAAAUGAAUUGACGG
rnacentral:rRNA from 1 species